CACGUAGGGCGCAAGCGUUGUCCGGAAUUAUUGGGCGUAAAGAGCUCGUAGGCGGUCUGUUGCGUCCGCUGUGAAAACCCGGGGCUUAACCCCUGGCUUGCAGUGGAUACGGACAGACUAGAGGUAGGUAGGGGAGAAUGGAAUUCCUGGUGUAGCGGUGAAAUGCGCAGAUAUCAGGAGGAACACCGAUGGCGAAGGCAGGUCUCUGGGCAUUAACUGACGCUGAGGAGCGAAAGCAUGGGGAGCGAACAGG
rnacentral:rRNA from 1 species